AUGCUUAGGAAUCUGCCUAUUACUGGGGGACAACAUCUCUCAAGGGAUGCUGAUACCGCACACGUCCUACGGGAGAAACCAAGGGAUCUUCGGACCUUGCGCUAAUAGAUGAUCCUAAAUCGAAUUACCUACUUGGUGGGGUAAAGGCCUACCAAGGCCACCAUCUGUAGGGGGUCUUACAUGAUGAUCCUCCACACUGGGACUGACACACGGCCCCUACUCCUACGGGAGGCCUCCUUGGGGAAUAUUGGACAAUGGGGGGAACCCUGAUCCCGCCAUGCCGCGUGUGUGAAGAAGGCCUUAUGGUUGUAGCUUUCUUUUCGCAAGGAUGAGGCUACUUUAAUAAUACCUGCAAAUUGUGGACGUUGCUCCCAUAAUAGUCCCCGGCUAAAUCUGUGCCGCCAACCGCGUUAAUACAGACGGUGCAGCGUUAAUCGGAUUUACUGGGCGUAAAUCGUGCGUAGGCGGCUUAUUACAUCUGAUGUCUUAUCUCCGAGCUUAACUUGGGAAUUGGCAUUCGAUACUGGUGAGCUAAAGUAUGGGACUUGAUGUUAGAAUUCCAAGUGUGGAAUUCCAUGUGUAUCGAGAUCUUGCGUAUACUGGCGAAGGCAGCCAUCUGGCCUAAUACUGACGCUGAGGUACGAAAGCAUGGGGAGCAAACAGGAUUAGAUACCCUGGUAGUCCUAUAUGCUGUAACCAUCUCUACUAACGAUGAGUGCUUUGUGUGAUAUGGUGUCCCCCCUUUCGCGAUAAGUUUACCGCCUGAGUACGGUCGCAAGACUAAAACUCAAAUGAAUUGACGGGGGCCCGCACAAGCGGUGGAGCAUGUGGUUUAAUUCGAUGCAACGCGAAGAAUACCUGGCCUUGACAUACUAGAAACUUUCCAGAGAUGGAUUGGUGCCUUCGGGAAUCUAGAUACAGGUGCUGCAUGGCUGUCGUCAGCCGCGGCAUGGCUGGAUCAGGGUUCCCCCAUUGUCCAAUAUCCCCAUGGUGCCUCCGUAGAAUCUGGGCGGGUCCAGUCCCAUAAGGAUACUGCCAGUGACAAACUGGAGGAAGGCGGGGACGACGUCAAGUCAUCAUGGCCCUUACGGCCAGGGCUACACACGUGCUACAACAAAGGGUUGCUACACAGCGAUGUGAUGCUAAUCUCAAAAAGCCGAUCGUAGUCCGGAUUGGAGUCUGCAACUCGACUCCAUGAAGUCGGAAUCGCUAGUAAUCGCGGAUCAGAAUGCCGCGGUGAAUACGUUCCCGGGCCUUGUACACACCGCCCGUCACACCAUGGGAGUUUGUUGCACCAGAAGUAGCUAGCCUAACUGCAAAGAGGGCGGUUACCACGGUGGGCCGAUGACUGGGGGAAGUCGAACCAACGAGG
rnacentral:rRNA from 1 species